UGACAGCUGCCGCGGUAACACGAACCGGACAAACGUUAUUCGGAAUCACUGGGCUUAAAGGGUGCGUAGGCGGGUUGGUAGGUCAGAUGUGAAAGCCCACGGCUCAACCGUGGAAUUGCGUUUGAAACCACUAGUCUUGAGGGGAUCAGAGGAGAGCGGAACUGAUGGUGGAGCGGUGAAAUGCGUUGAUAUUAUCAGGAACACCGGUGGCGAAAGCGGCUCUCUGGGAUCCUUCUGACGCUGAGGCACGACAGCUAGGGGAGCGAACAGGAUUAGAUA
rnacentral:rRNA from 1 species